AAGCCAGCUUGCUUGGUGGAUAGUGGCGAACGGGUGAGUAACACGUGAGCAACCUGCCCUGGACUCUGGGAUAAGCGCUGGAAACGGCGUCUAAUACUGGAUAUGAGCUCUCAUCGCAUGGUGGGGGUUGGAAAGAUUUUUUGGUCUGGGAUGGGCUCGCGGCCUAUCAGCUUGUUGGUGAGGUAAUGGCUCACCAAGGCGUCGACGGGUAGCCGGCCUGAGAGGGUGACCGGCCACACUGGGACUGAGACACGGCCCAGACUCCUACGGGAGGCAGCAGUGGGGAAUAUUGCACAAUGGGCGGAAGCCUGAUGCAGCAACGCCGCGUGAGGGAUGACGGCCUUCGGGUUGUAAACCUCUUUUAGCAGGGAAGAAGCGAAAGUGACGGUACCUGCAGAAAAAGCGCCGGCUAACUACGUGCCAGCAGCCGCGGUAAUACGUAGGGCGCAAGCGUUAUCCGGAAUUAUUGGGCGUAAAGAGCUCGUAGGCGGUUUGUCGCGUCUGCUGUGAAAUCCCGAGGCUCAACCUCGGGCCUGCAGUGGGUACGGGCAGACUAGAGUGCGGUAGGGGAGAUUGGAAUUCCUGGUGUAGCGGUGGAAUGCGCAGAUAUCAGGAGGAACACCGAUGGCGAAGGCAGAUCUCUGGGCCGUAACUGACGCUGAGGAGCGAAAGGGUGGGGAGCAAACAGGCUUAGAUACCCUGGUAGUCCACCCCGUAAACGUUGGGAACUAGUUGUGGGGACCAUUCCACGGUUUCCGUG
rnacentral:rRNA from 1 species